rfam:Oscillibacter valericigenes Sjm18-20 DNA, complete genome.
GGGGGUGUACCGGUUUCGACGGGGACAUGGAGGCGGGACCAGCGGGCGGAUGCGCCUGUCAUCCUGAAAACGGGCAAUUUAUAAAUUAAACAACAAUAAUACUGUUGCUUACGCUGCCUAAUUAAAGGCAGCCGUCCGACCCGGAAGGACCGCGAGCCGGGAAGGGCGUCGUUUAGCGGUAAAUGUGCGUACGCAAAGCUUUGCGUGUACCAUAAAUUAUGAAGCUUACCUGACCCGCCGGCGUGACGGCUUGCCGGUGGUAAGGGGAACAGGGAGAGUAAGACUCCCGCAAUAACCGCCUGCGCCCGGAGAAAGUUCCGUUAAAGUGCUUUCGGACGGGGGUUCAACUCCCCCCACCUCCACCA